rnacentral:rRNA from 1 species
UGAGGAAUAUUGGUCAAUGGACGAGAGUCUGAACCAGCCAAGUAGCGUGCAGGAUGACGGCCCUAUGGGUUGUAAACUGCUUUUGUUUGGGAAUAAUCGACAUUACGUGUAAUGUUUUGCAUGUACCAUUCGAAUAAGGACCGGCUAAUUCCGUGCCAGCAGCCGCGGUAAUACGGAAGGUCCAGGCGUUAUCCGGAUUUAUUGGGUUUAAAGGGCGUGUAGGCGGUUGGUUAAGCGUGUUGUGAAAUGUAGAUGCUCAACAUCUGACUUGCAGCGCGAACUGGCUGACUUGAGUACACACAACGUAGGCGGAAUUCAUGGUGUAGCGGUGAAAUGCUUAGAUAUCAUGAAGAACUCCGAUUGCGAAGGCAGCUUACGGGAGUGUUACUGACGCUUAAGCUCGAAGGUGCGGGUAUCGAACAGG